CCGUGAGGGAAAGGCGAAAAGAACCCCGGCGAGGGGAGUGAAAAAGAACCUGAAACCGUGUACGUACAAGCAGUGGGAGCACAGGUUUACCUGUGUGACUGCGUACCUUUUGUAUAAUGGGUCAGCGACUUAUAUUCUGUAGCAAGGUUAACCGUAUAGGGGAGCCGGAGGGAAACCGAGUCUUAAUUGGGCGUUAAGUUGCAGGGUAUAGACCCGAAACCCGGUGAUCUAGCCAUGGGCAGGUUGAAGGUUGGGUAACACUAACUGGAGGACCGAACCGACUAAUGUUGAAAAAUUAGCGGAUGACCUGUGGCUGGGGGUGAAAGGCCAAUCAAACCGGGAGAUAGCUGGUUCUCCCCGAAAGCUAUUUAGGUAGCGCCUCGUGAAUUCAUCUCCGGGGGUAGAGCACUGUUUCGGCUAGGGGGCCAUCCCGGCUUACCAACCCGAUGCAAACUGCGAAUACCGGAGAAUGUUAUCACGGGAGACACACGGCGGGUGCUAACGUCCGUCGUGAAGAGGGAAACAACCCAGACCGCCAGCUAAGGUCCCAAAGUCAUGGUUAAGUGGGAAACGAUGUGGGAAGGCCCAGACAGCCAGGAUGUUGGCUUAGAAGCAGCCAUCAUUUAAAGAAAGCGUAAUAGCUCACUGGUCGAGUCGGCCUGCGCGGAAGAUGUAACGGGGCUAAACCAUGCACCGAAGCUGCGGCAGCGA
rnacentral:rRNA from 1 species